GACGAACGCUGGCGGCGUGCUUAACACAUGCAAGUCGAACGGAAAGGCCUGCUUUCCCUUGUGGAUUGCGGGUACUCGAGUGGCGAACGGGUGAGUAACACGUGAGUGAUCUGCCCCCAACUUGGGUAUAAGCCUGGGAAACUGGGUCUAAUUCCCGAUAGGACUGCAGGGUGGUGCCUGUGGUGGAAAACGAUUUUCUAGUGGUUGGGGAUGAGCUCGUGGCCUAUCAGCUUGUUGGUGGGGUAAUGGCCUACCAAGGCGGCGUCGGGUAGCCUGCCUGGGAGGGUGGACGGCCACGGUGGGACUGAGAUACGGCCCAGACUCCUACGGGCGGCAGCAGUGGGGAAUAUUGAACAAUGGGCGGAAGCCUGAGGCAGCGACGCCGCGGGGGGGAUGCCGGCCUUCGGGUGGUAAACUCCUUUCGACCGCGAGGAAGCCACCUGGUUGGAAGGGUGGUGACGGUAGUGGCAGAAGAAGCACCGGCUAACUACGUG
rnacentral:rRNA from 1 species